CUGGCGGCGUGCCUAAUACAUGCAAGUCGAACGAACUCUGGUAUUGAUUGGUGCUUGCAUCAUGAUUUACAUUUGAGUGAGUGGCGAACUGGUGAGUAACACGUGGGAAACCUGCCCAGAAGCGGGGGAUAACACCUGGAAACAGAUGCUAAUACCGCAUAACAACUUGGACCGCAUGGUCCGAGCUUGAAAGAUGGCUUCGGCUAUCACUUUUGGAUGGUCCCGCGGCGUAUUAGCUAGAUGGUGGGGUAACGGCUCACCAUGGCAAUGAUACGUAGCCGACCUGAGAGGGUAAUCGGCCACAUUGGGACUGAGACACGGCCCAAACUCCUACGGGAGGCAGCAGUAGGGAAUCUUCCACAAUGGACGAAAGUCUGAUGGAGCAACGCCGCGUGAGUGAAGAAGGGUUUCGGCUCGUAAAACUCUGUUGUUAAAGAAGAACAUAUCUGAGAGUAACUGUUCAGGUAUUGACGGUAUUUAACCAGAAAGCCACGGCUAACUACGUGCCAGCAGCCGCGGUAAUACGUAGGUGGCAAGCGUUGUCCGGAUUUAUUGGGCGUAAAGCGAGCGCAGGCGGUUUUUUAAGUCUGAUGUGAAAGCCUUCGGCUCAACCGAAGAAGUGCAUCGGAAACUGGGAAACUUGAGUGCAGAAGAGGACAGUGGAACUCCAUGUGUAGCGGUGAAAUGCGUAGAUAUAUGGAAGAACACCAGUGGCGAAGGCGGCUGUCUGGUCUGUAACUGACGCUGAGGCUCGAAAGUAUGGGUAGCAAACAGGAUUAGAUACCCUGGUAGUCCAUACCGUAAACGAUGAAUGCUAAGUGUUGGAGGGUUUCCGCCCUUCAGUGCUGCAGCUAACGCAUUAAGCAUUCCGCCUGGGGAGUACGGCCGCAAGGCUGAAACUCAAAGGAAUUGACGGGGGCCCGCACAAGCGGUGGAGCAUGUGGUUUAAUUCGAAGCUACGCGAAGAACCUUACCAGGUCUUGACAUACUAUGCAAAUCUAAGAGAUUAGACGUUCCCUUCGGGGACAUGGAUACAGGUGGUGCAUGGUUGUCGUCAGCUCGUGUCGUGAGAUGUUGGGUUAAGUCCCGCAACGAGCGCAACCCUUAUUAUCAGUUGCCAGCAUUAAGUUGGGCACUCUGGUGAGACUGCCGGUGACAAACCGGAGGAAGGUGGGGAUGACGUCAAAUCAUCAUGCCCCUUAUGACCUGGGCUACACACGUGCUACAAUGGAUGGUACAACGAGUUGCGAACUCGCGAGAGUAAGCUAAUCUCUUAAAGCCAUUCUCAGUUCGGAUUGUAGGCUGCAACUCGCCUACAUGAAGUCGGAAUCGCUAGUAAUCGCGGAUCAGCAUGCCGCGGUGAAUACGUUCCCGGGCCUUGUACACACCGCCCGUCACACCAUGAGAGUUUGUAACACCCAAAGUCGGUGGGGUAACCUUUUAGGAACCAGCCGCCUAAGGUGGGAC
rnacentral:rRNA from 1 species